rnacentral:rRNA from 1 species
AACGCGAAGAACCUUACCUGGACUUGACAUGCAAGUAGUAGAAGUGGGAAACCCCUUCGACCGCAAGGAGCUUGCACAGGUGCUGCAUGGCUGUCGUCAGCUCGUGCCGUGAGGUGUAGGGUUAAGUCCUGAAACGAGCGCAACCCUCGGCGUUAGUUAGAAUGUCUAACGCGACUGCCCGCGACAAGCGGGAGGAAGGUGGGGAUGAUGUCAAGUCAGCAUGGCCUUUAUGUCCAGGGCGACACACACGCUACAAUGGUCGGUACAAUGGGCAGCCAAGCCGCAAGGCGGAGCUAAUCCAAUCAAAGCCGGCCUCAGUUCAGAUUGUGGGCUGCAACUCGCCCACAUGAAGUCGGAGUUGCUAGUAACCGCGCGUCAGCAGAGUGCGGUGAAUACGUUCCCGGGCCUUGUACACACCGUACGUC